CGUGUAGAGACCCUGUGACACCCUGAUGUUCGCAGGUGGUAUGCGGCAUGUCGUAAAUGCCAGCCAGCCCAAAAACACCACUGUACCAUCUUCCAUUUGAAAGGAUGGACCUCGUCAGACACCCACACAGAGCGACCGAGAGAGAGAGAGAGAGAGAGACACACACAAAGAGUGAGACAGAGAGAGAGAGACACAGAAAGAGAGAGACGCACACAAAGAGCGAGACAGAGAGAGAGAGGCAUACACAAAGAGAAACAGAGAGAGACACAGCGAGAGACACACACACAAAGAGUCAGACUGAGUGAGAGACACAGAGAGAGACACACACACAAACACAAAGAGUGAGACUGCGAGAGAGAGAGGCACACACACAAAGAGUGAGACUGAGAGAGAGACAGAGAGAGACACACACACAAACACAAAGAGUGAGACCGCGAGAGAGAGGCACACACACAAAGAGUGAGACCGCGAGAGAGAGGCACACACACAAAGAGUGAGACUGAGAGAGAGACAGAGAGAGACACACACACACAAACACAAAGAGUGAGACUGCGAGAGAGAGGCACACACACAAAGAGUGAGACUGAGAGAGAGACAGAGAGAGACACACACACACAAACACAAAGAGUGAGACCGCGAGAGAGAGGCACACACACAAAGAGUGAGACUGAGAGAGAGACACAGAGAGAGACACACACACACAAACACAAAGAGUGAGACCGCGAGAGAGAGGCACACACACAAAGAGUGAGACUGAGAGAGAGACACAGAGAGAGACACACACACACACACAUAGAGAGAGACUGAGACAGAGAGAGAGAGACAGAGAGUUAAUCACGAAUGGUUCUUAUAAUCUCUUGUCUAUAUGAAGCCGUUAUCGAGUCUUCUCCGGACGCAGUGCGGAGCGCUGCGUGUGUAAACUCGUGUCCAACCGCAGCUGUUGGUCUCGUAACUCAUUAGCGCAGCUUCUAAACGAGCUGUUAUACAUGGUCUCAGAGUUCUGAGCACGCGCCUGUGUUGGAGAAGGUAAUUAACUGCGUUUUACCCGUGCGUGUAAGACUAGCACCAGGAGCGACAGUGACGAUGUGAUGAUCUCUGGCUCUGUGAGGAGGCGUGAUGACUCAGCUGUUCACGCUCUGUGUGUGUGUGUGUGCUGUGAGUGCUGUGUGAAGGUUAACCACGAAGACCAAGCGCUGCAGGGAUUCUGAAUCCGCCGCAGGUUUCCCAGGUUUCCGAUGCGGCUGCUGAACGCGGCAGGGGGUCGUGCUGGAGUUUCUGCUGGACUCGGAGCGGUGUCAGGGUUACCAAGCGCUCUCUUUCUUCACAGUCUGCGUCGUUUCUUUGUUUUUGUCUUGUUUUCUCUUCGGCUCUGACCUAGUAAAGAUUUGUGUGUGUAAAAAAAAAAAAAAAAAAAAAAAAACGUGAAAAUUUCAUAAUAAAAGUACAUGUUUAUUUAGUAACAGGGUUUCUGAACAAUUGCAGGUGCAAAGUUUCCGGGGGUAACUGUUAGUCUGUAGUCUGUAGUUGUUGUUUAUUUGUUAUAUAUAUAUAUAUAUAUGUAUAUAUAUGUAUUGUUAAUCAGUCCCUCCAGGAUGUAGCGAUUUUUGCGAUCGCCGAAAUGAACACAAAAUCAAGCGAAUGCAACAACACGCUUGCGAUUUCUCAAAAUUUCCGUGGACUUUCCGCAGAUUCGGGCCAAAAUGCGCCAUGUGACGUCAUCACAACACGCGUUCAUCCCAAGCCCUUUUCGGAAUACAGCUAAACAAGAAUACAGCUAAAAGCUCUCGUUUACCGACGAGCAUCGAGGGGUUUUAAAUUAAAUUUUAAAUUUUAAAAUUUUUCUCCGAAAAGCGCAACAAAAUCGGACGUUUCUUUCGGCCGCAAGGAUCAGAGAGGAACAAUUUCCUAGGACUGCUCCUAAUAGGAAGCACCGUGUUUUUGCAAACAUUAAAUGUAACUGCAAACGGAUAAAAAGUCGUACUCGUUGACAAAUGGCGGCGGUGUUAUAAGACGAAUAACACACUACACGACAUGCUUUUAUUGGAAAUAAUCAACUUCAGGGUGUUAACAAUGACACAACUUCAUCCGUGAUUAUUUUCCUAUAACAGCACAACCCCAAGCACGUUGCUCGUAACUGAGGUGAAUUCCAAUCGUACUGUAAGGAGAUAUUGAUAAAUGUGUGUGUGUGUGUGGGUGUGUGGAGUGUUAGGUUUUUGUCGCACAAGUUUUUAUCGGUAUUUUUGAUUCAGAUGAAUUUCCUCGACGAAGCCGUAGUGCUGACCGAAAGCAUUCGGGUUACGCGCUGCUGUUGUCAGCGGCGUGAAAGAGAUUAAUCACGGCGCUUUGUUUCUUUUCGUUAUCCCAGUCAGCGAACCGACUCGCGCUGACGUGGCCGUGUCUGAUUGCUCGGACGCGUCCAGAGGACCUGACGCUGCGUUUUUGGGCUUCCGUUAUUACGCGGUCGCAGAAGUAAGACGACUAAAAGAAUGGAGCGCUUCCUGUCGAACGCAUUUGUAAAUAUUAUAUUUGACAACAUUUGACACCAAUAAAAUACAAAUGUAAAAAAAAAAAAAAAAAAAAACAUAAUUAUUUCUCUCUCAUUCUUUGUUCUGUCUUUGAACCAGAAAGGAAAAUAUAUAUAUAAAUAAAUAAAUAGUAUACACACACACACACACACACACACACAUCCACCUGUCUUUCUCUUUUCCUUCCUCGCUAUUUCACACCUUUGGAAGUGCAGGGAUUAUUUAUAGUAUCCUUUAAAUGCGCCACCUGAAGUCAACGAGAGUGAAAUUCCCAAUCCGGUACUACAGUGAGAAUGAAAGAGUGCACACGUAGCUGUCCUGCUAGAACACACCACACUAAAGGCUUUAACGGCGUAUUUACACCCUGUGUUCAAUCUCACGAUCUCAUUACGUCCUCCGGUGUUUCCGAUCUCAGGACAUUUUUAUCGGUACCCCCACACACACACACACACACAAGGCGUGGCCGAACACGAAUACAGAGCGAUCCACGCUCGUUAUAUCGUGUUUCCUGGAGACAAUGUGCAAAUGUAUGAGACUUUUCAUUGACGAUUAUUUCGAUACUUUGUAAAUCCCUCUCACAAACGCAUGACAGCUUGUUUAUGGUGAUUAGGCGUCUAUGCUUAGCGUUGUUAUGACUUCGUUCACAUUAGAAGUUUUACGUAUACACACACACACACACACACACACACACACACACACACAAAAAAAAAAAAGCCUCCUUCAUAUGUUCUUUGUGUUCGGGUAUACUUUUCGGGAAUUUAGGCAGGACCCAACAGCAGAGGGUUUUCCUGACAGAUCCAGUGGACUGUUAUUUUGGAUGAGUGUGUGUAUUAAAGGGGUAAGUGUGUGUCCCUACACUGUGUCCCUACACUGUGUCCCUACAUUGUGUCCCUACACUGUGUCCCUUCACUGUGUCCCUACACUGUGUCCCUUCACUGUGUCCCUUCACUGUGUCCCUACACUGUGUCCCUUCACUGUGUCCCUUCACUGUGUCCCUUCACUGUGUCCCUACACUGUGUCCCU
ensembl:lncRNA